UUUCAUCCUACCCCAUUCCACCCUAACCCAUUUCACCCUCCUCCCAACCCAACCACCAUUGACAUCAACAACCCAGAAAAUUCCGACUUGCAACGAGAAUAAUAACACUACCUAAACUUUUUUCAUCUUCAUUAUCAACGCUAUUUAAGUGCAUAUUUAGGGAAAAAGUUCACCAAAUUGAACUUAUCUCUCAAAUUACGAGCAACUUCUCGAUCAUUUUAGUAAAAUAGCGGUCUCUGAAGUUCCGGAUCAGAAUUCCAUGCUUCCGACGAAGAAGAAGCAGCAUUCUAACGACGAGAAAAGGAAAAAGAAUCUUGUACCAGGAGGAUUGCUGAAAGCUGAGAUUAGACUUGGUGGAGGAGAUUCUAGACCUUUUGAUGUUGGAUCAUGUCGCGGCUGCUAGUGGCUUGUUCACAUAACUUUAGCAAGCAGAGGGUGAUUACAGGGACUAAGGAUUCAACUUGCAAUUCUGGACCACCGGUUUGAUGAUCUAGAUUAUGAAACAUUCAAAGCAUUGGAUGCUGACAAUGUCUCAAACAUCCCUUCAAUGAGUGAAGAAUAGAUGAACACCUUACCUGUCCACAAGUACAAGGUCACAGGAUCGAAAAAGUAAGAAAUACUUAUCAUCAAGUGCUAGUAGUUUUAUUUCGCAAGUAAUUUUAAGUAUAAAGGCUCAAUUAACGUCUAUAUGUAGAGAAAGUCUAUAUUACUCGGGAUCAGGUACUCUUGUCUGACACAUAUAUUUGAGUCUUAGGUGCGUCUCAUAUCUACAAGAUUUUGGUUUAGUGGUUGUGGUUGUAAUAACCAUCAAUGUAAACAGAGUCACUUUGUGAAAGAUAGUGUGACUUAAUGCCAUAGCAUACUCUUUAACGUUUUAGCUCUUUGUUCUUCAUUACUGCUUUUUACUUGCUACUAGUUAAUGUCAAUCAAGUAUGGAGCUAGUUUGUUAGCUGUAAGUAUCUAAUGAGGUCCUUGGAGGCUUGAUCUGUAAGAACUCAGAUUAUCUUAGCAAUAUAAGUUAUGAUAUAUGAUAGUAACCAGAUAGAUAUUGUAUCGAUUUACUAUAGAAGAAAAGCAAAUACGAUCAUACUCAUUCUAGAGGAAUAUGAGCUCUCUCAAUACUAAUUCUCUCUACAUUUUCUCGAUAAAACCUCCUCU